GUGAUAACAAUACUUCUCUGUGGAACUCAGUGUUCCACAUAGAGUUGAGACAGAUCUCUUGUUUGGAAGGAUCUUCGACAGCCUAGCAUUUUCCAAAGUGUAUUCCAUAGAACAUUAAUCAUAUCCCUCCCGGAUGCUCUGUUGCUGAUAAGAAACAUGCAUCACUCAAGUGAAAAAAAAAAAAAAGAGAGACGGAGAACACAAGCAUGAGCAGGGACAGGGACAACGGGAGAAGCAGC